UUCCAAAAGUCUGCAGGCAGGCAUAUACCCUUACUGUUGCAAAAGAUUAUGACAUCAUGGAUGUUAAAAAGAGAAUGAAUGAUGUGGUUACUCAUGCAUUCAAUAUAUUACUAGAGAGGGGGUUAUAUGGAAACAUGGCCUUUCUGUCAGCUAGAAGUAACCUGUCUCCUGGGCCACACAAGUCUUGAAGAGUUGCACAGACUAGCCAAAGUCAGGUAGAAUUUUACUGGAGUCCAAUCAGUUCUUUAGACAGCAGUUCUAAAAUUCAAGAAAGCAUUAUCAAACUGUGACACAAAUUCAAUUAUGAUGUUGUGAUGCCAAACCCGUGGUCCUGGCAAAGUGUAUCAUGCAGCAUAUCUAGUUGUUUACGCUUAGAAAACAGAACCACCCUAAGCAAGAGAAAGGUACCCAAACCCCCUUGUUGGCUUCCGCUGAGAAGUUAGAGCACUUACAGAGGGGCAGAACUGGAUUGUCGUCUAUCCCAGACCUGAGAAGAUUCAAGCCCCCAUCUCAU